CCGUUCUUUUUUCACAGCGGAAGAAAGUAGUUCUCAAAUCUCUCUCCUGAGAGCAGAUGCUGUAUUUGAAGAGCAAGAGCACAACGAAACCUGCCUGGAAACAACGUCAGAAAGAAAUGACUGAAGGUAAUCAAGCCCCGGGAUCGGCCAUGUUAGUGAUGACACAGAAAAAGGCCAAGGGUUCUGGACUACGGCGCCGCAGGACAAAGAGAAGGAGCCUUGUGGCUACAGUGGAGAAGCUGACUGCAAUGAUGUCAAAGAAGAAAGCAAAAAUUGAACGCAUGAAGAAGAGGCUGAACAAAAUGAAAGCCAAAGUGGAAGAGAUGGAGUCAGAAGGUGCCAGAAUGCUUGAGCAGAACAAGCUGGCAAUUGAGGAGAAUGUUGACAUCCAACUCUCUGUCGAUUACAUGGUGCUUGCCUUCUUAUGUGGCGGCAAUGGUGGAGACUGAUUACUGGCCCCAAACCCUAGCCCAUGCCUAUGUGUCUUUUCGGUGUGCAAUAAGCUGAUUACUGUUGGUUUCCCCAAAUCCUAGCAUAUGUGGUAGAUAAUAAUUGAAGUUUGGUUCAGCUCAGAACCAUUGAGCCUUGCUGUGGACUUCUGAAUUGGCACCAUAUGAGAUUUUCUUUCCUUUAUGUUCCAUAAUGGUUGUCCAGUGGAAUGUGAUUUGAACUUCGAGACAAGUGGUAGCUCAGAGAUUUUUAGAACUUAUGAGUAGUGGAAAAUGCAUAUCCAACUUGUUGGUCAAGAAUGAAACAAUCUGGGUAGUUUAGCUCGCUGCAAGGUUCAUUUCCAAAUUCUGAAGGAAAUUUAGUUUGUUGAAGUUGAUACACAAGGUUGUGUUAGCAUUUGCAGACGUUGUUGAUGUUAAGCUGCUCUACUAUGCUGUUUUUGACAAAUUGAAAAAGAGCCGAGAAAGUAGAAAGUGCUGCGCCUUUUCAAGAGCCACCUGCCUUAAUCGCCUCGAGGAAGGAGAGAUUAUUUGUUGUGAGCUACAAUUUUCUGGGUAAUCAGAUGGAGACGUUAACCGAAUUACAAUAGGGGAUGGUUAAAUACAUCGCUAAAUACAACACCACCGGUUAAAAUGACUUAUCUCUUUUGCACCGUACGAGGGUAUUGGAGACAAAUGAGGAAGAUUUGCACACUGGAGCUGCUAAGCGCAAGAAAGAUGCAAGCGAUGAUGCCAGUUCUGGUAAAAAGAGAAAUAAAUUGUGACUCAGAACUUGCGAGCUGUGGAAACUGUCAUCCGACUUUGUGGUCAUGCAUGAAAAUCUGGGCUGUUUAGCUGUCUGCAAGCUUCAUCUCCAAAUUCCGAAAGAAAUUCUGCUCGCACAAGAUUAUGUUUGCAUUUGUGAACUUUGUAGAUGUCAAGAUCUUGAUGCUAAAAUCUAGUGUGAGAAUCAAAUCUAGAGAAAGAUUCAAGACUCCAAUAAACAAAAAGGUCAACUUCCUUAUGAGGCAAGAGUUAUGCAACAACAAAGGAGGCGAAGAGACGGUCGUGGAAAGUGUUUCUUCAAACAGGGCUUAUACAAUGUGUGGUUGGUAAACAAGGAUCAGUUUUUUUAGCAAGGUAUGGAAAGUAUGUCAAAUAUUCAAUAUGAUCCCACGAGGUACAACAUUCAAGUUCUCCGUGUCUCUACAUAACCUGAUUUCAUGUAUUUCUAUUCUAUGUGGGGUGUAAAAAAGAAAUAUACCCGGUCAUAGUUGUCUCUCUUGAUGGUUCUUCU